UACGGAGGGUGCGAGCGUUGUCCGGAAUCACUGGGCGUAAAGGGCGCGUAGGUGGCGCGGGAAGUCAACGGUGAAAGUUCGGGGCUCAACCCUGAAUCGGCCGUCGAUACUCCCGGGCUCGAGCACUGUAGAGGCAGAUGGAAUUCCGGGUGUAGCGGUGGAAUGCGUAGAGAUCCGGAAGAACACCGGUGGCGAAGGCGGUCUGCUGGGCAGUUGCUGACACUGAGGCACGAAAGCGUGGGGAUCAAACAGG
rnacentral:rRNA from 1 species